AGGAUAUUUGAAUUAAUAUAUAUAUAAAAUACAAUUAAAACUAUUGAUAUUAAAAUUUCUCAUAGCAAAAUUAAUGUGUAAGUUCAUGUGUUGUAUAAUACAUAAUAUAUUACAGUAGUGUAAAUUUGACAAGUUCUGUGUUUAACUGCUACUGUGGACCCAACCAAAGGAGAUACUGGGCCCCAGUGGUCUCACAAAUGCUAGAUAUCUGGAAGCUAUCCAGAAGAAACCUCUUCCACCGAGAACUGAAUAAAACUAUUGACCUCUAGUUACAUGACUAGCUGCUUUCUUAACUAGGAUUUUACCAGUAAAUAAAUCCUGAUUUUGAUGAAAGACUUCAUUCCAAAACAGCUUUGAGUAAUUGCAUGCAACCCAUCAAUCAAUUUCCCACUGCUUACGCACUCACAAACGAAUCAAAAAAUAUAUAUGAACUAAACAUCAUCACAUGUGCUAAACUCCUAAUAAUCAACAUUAUUAAAACACAGAAAGCAGGUUAACUUCUUACAAAACUACAAGCACGAAUAAAGGAACUAGUUUCUUAACUAGAACUAGAAGACCAUGAGCAUCACCUCAGCAUACACACUCCUUACAUUACUAUUAAGGACCACAAUGCUAAUUUCUUCUUUAAGCCUAAAUGUAGGUUAACCCUUCUAAAAUCAAAUUGGGAGUAGUUAAUAUGUGCAUUGUUGAGGCUGUCAACUUCAAAAGUAGGAGCACCACAAAGCUAGAACAAUAGAACUGUUGUGCCACCAUCACUUAGUGUUUUUAUGGCACUGAAAAAUGAAACUGCCUGCAUAUUGACCCAGUUUGACAUAGUGAACUUUUAUCCAACUAUAUCUAAACUCCACUUCCUGAAAGUCAUGUUCUUUGGAAGAGAAUUCACUACAAUUAGUGAUUGAAACAGUAACAUAGUAAUGAAAGAUCAGAAGUCAGUGUUAUAACGUGACAAUGCUAACUGGAUCAAACUGUUUGAUGUUUCUGUGGAGAGUGAUGAUGGAGUGGAAAUGGUUGAUUUUUAUGGGAUUCUUUAUUCCUCUGACGGCACCAAAUUGUAAAGAGAUGAUGACUUAGCAAUGUCAAUGGACUGAUUUAAAAAGGAGUUUGACAUGAAGAGUUAAGGAUUUUGGUUUAAAUAUAAAUGUGCAGCAUUAAUUCAGUACCAGCCAAUAGCAUUUGAGAGAAAAA